ACAAAUAAUUAUCUAGGUAAUUUUUGUAAUUCAUAUCCAAAGAAGAAUAUUGUACAGUUCAAUGGCAUGUUAUGUUCUAUACUAUGGGUACAAUCGAACGAUUGUGUUUAAAGUACCUUUGAAUCGAGUUGACCUGACCGACGCUGCAGAUAAUCUACUAAGAUAAUUUUUUUAAGAAAAUAUAUACUGAACUGAAUUUAAAUCUAUCUCUAUUGAAAAGAUAAAAAUAGAACUAUCGUUUUUUAUCGUUUUCUCAUCAUUGUUUAGGAAUGAAACAGUACUUACAUGUUCACAGUAAUAAUAAUUUCACCGAAUUUUGUCAAAUAACAAAUACAAAAAAAUAAAGAUUACAUUUUAUAUGUUUUUAACGCGAUGUCCAGUUUAACUCGACUCAUUGGAAUACCUCCUUAGAAGGAACAAAUAUCUUUAUGAACGUUCUCAAUGUGCAGGGAGACAUAAUGUGGUAUAUACAAAUAUUUUUCUAUGGAUGAAAUAGUAAGUGAAAUUUUAAGGUCAGGUUAGUUUUUUUAAGUGGAAUGCUGUAUUUUUUUUAUUUAUAUUAUUGUAGUGUAAAUUCAGUGAAACACCACACAAUACAUUCCGUUUUAUGUAAUGUUGUAAAAUACUGAAUUCUGCAUUUUUGAGUCACUGUUUAACCCUUCGGCGACCACCUCCGUAUCGUAUUACGCCUGGGUCCUUAUCGGAUACGGAUCUAUGCAACAGAUCACGUCUGGCGUUUCUUUGUUUAUAUAAACAGCAAUUUCGUAAUAGGAACUGUUUGGACCACUCGCUUGAGGAUGUAUAUGUACAGUAUAUAUACAAUGACAGAUAAGAGAUAUCACGUAUUAUUAAUAAAUACAUCGAAACAGCGAAGAUCGGUUCGAAAAUCUGUUACAAGUUAGCGAUUCAAACGAAAGUUCGUUUAGCGAAAGUGAAAGUGAUAGUGAGAAUUCUAUUGAUGAUUUUGUUAAUGCUAUUAUUACAAGUGAACAUGGUGAUAGUGAUAUCGAGUGCUAUGAUAGUGCACAGUUUCAGCAACAUUUUGAAUGUCAGGAUAUGGAUAAUUAUGCGGGACAAAGGGAAACAUUUAAUGAGAAUUAUGGAUCUUAAAAUGAAGCAAAAAAUGCGAAGUCAGUUCUUGAUUCGGUUUUAUUAUUUUUUACGCAAGACCUCGUGGAAAAGAUAGCAGAUGAAACAAACAAAUACGCGGAGCUCAAUAUCACCUCAAGAAGACGAUCAUUAGAAGAAUGUAUAUUCGUAACAAUUACAGUGAAUGAAUUAUGCGUAUAGUGUUAUUGGCCUAUUGUUACUCAUGGGAAUAGUGCAAAAGCCAACGUCACGACUGUACUUUUCCACAAAAAGAAUUAUUUCAACUCCAGCAUUUCACAACUCCAGAGAUGUAAUAUUAUGCUAUUUGCAUUUCUGAGCACCUACAUAACAUUUUCAGCGGUCGCCGCUAGCGGAUACUAUCAUUAAAGAUAGAGAUUUACAGUUGAAUCAAAUGGACCCGGACAGUACAGGGGGGCGUAUAAGUUAACCUUUUCUUUUUUUAAAUGUAAGUAACAUAUGAUUUGAAGAAAUUAAGUUAAGUCGAUUAACUGAAACCAUAGUAUAGAUAACGUAAAAAUUGAUCUGUCUGUAGAAUAACUACUAACGUUUUAAACGUGGUGGUUUCAAGUCUCUAUUGUUACCAUUUUUAUUUACUCAUAUUAAUUAAGUAGUUUUUCAUUUCAAUUUAAAUAACUCAAAUAAAUGCGAAAAUUAAUGGGGUGGGGGAGGGCUCGUGGAGUUUGUAGGUUGAAAAAUGACGAGAAAAACAUUAUUUCUGUUAUUUUAUAGUUUUAUAAAAUUGUUUUUUACCACCCAUGCUCCACAAAUUUCUAUUACUACUAUUAAUUCGAUAUUAUUUUAAUAUUGGAUUAAUUAAAAAAUAGUUUUAUGACAGUUAUGAGAACAUUUCGGUUCUUCGUAUCUGUUUCAAGAACCGAAACCGAUAUCAUAACUGUUUUCAACCCCUGCUUUCAAUUACAGCAGGAAUCAGCCCUUUCCGGAUAUAAGGGGGCUCCCUGUAUACCUACAGCGUGUUUAAGAAGGUGGUUCAAGAUUUUAAGGAUUUAUUAUACCGACCGAGAGGAGUAAAAAAUGUCCAUUCAACAUAGGUCCAAAAAAGCCAAUCCUCUCGGUCAGUACUAUAAAUCCUUAAAAUCUUGAACCACUUUUUUUUUAACACUCUGUAUAUGUAUAUAUUGUACAUUAGUAUAACGCAAAAGUGAGAUCUACUGUGUUAAAGUUUAUAAAAAUGUAUAAGACCAGUAGACUAGUGUAAACGCGAAAAGUCAUUACAACCCGGGUGUUCUCGUAUAUAUUAUUAUUCUGCUGCCAAAUAUACAUCAAAGAAGAAGAAGAAGAAGAAGAAGAAGAAGAAGGUCUACCACCUGAAUCAUUGCAAACAAAAUUUGAAGAUACCACAUACUGGAUAUACUUUAAUAGCGAUUCGACAUGUUACUUCAUCUGUAAGCAGAAGGGACGCAUAGACAAGCAGUGUCGAAGUCACAUCGAAGAAAAAACAACAAACGCUUUCACAAACCUAGCAGACGAAGACGCGCCUCUGUCAACGACGUUCUACAAUCGCAACCGCUGACACGUUAUACCGAUAAACGCCAACAUGGGUAUCAGAAGAAGUUCUCCAUCGUCCACGUCAUCGGAUAAUCUUCUGUAAUUGAACACCUAAAAAGGAAGGUGUAGAUAUUCUUUUAUUUGGUUUACAUUAGAGUGAACCAAACACUAUGCGCGACCAACACCAUGCUGAUUGUACAAAAAUAGAAUAAGGAAAUAUAAUACUUUUUUUACCAGGAAA